GAUGAACGCUGGCGGCGUGCCUAAUACAUGCAAGUCGAGCGAACAGAUGAGGAGCUUGCUCCUCUGACGUUAUCGGCGGACGGGUGAGUCACACGUGGAUAACCUACCUAUAAGACUGGGAUAUCUUCGGGACACCGGAGCUAACACCGUAUAAUAUAUUGUUCCGUAUGGUUUAAUAGUGAAAUACGGUUUUGCUGUCACUUAUAGAUGGAUCCGCGGCUCAUUAGCUAGUUGGUAAGGUAACGGCGUACCAAGGCAACGCUGCGUCGCCCACCUGAGAGGGUGUUCGGCAACACUGGAACUAGACCAGGGUCCAGACUCCUAGGGGAGGCGGCAGUAGGGAAUCUUCGGCAAGGGGCGAAGGCCUGACGGGGCAACGCGGCGGGAGGAAGGAAGGUCUUCGAAUCGUAAAACUCGGUUAUUGGGGAAGAACAAAGGUGUAAGUAACUAUGCACGUCUUGACGGUACCUAAUCAGAAAGCCACGGCUAACUACGUG
rnacentral:rRNA from 1 species